rnacentral:tRNA from 1 species
GGCUGUAGCUCAGGGGCAGAGCGCUUGCCUAGCAUGCGUGAGGCACUGGGUUCAAUCCUCAGCACCA